ensembl:lncRNA
UGAUACUCUACCCUCUGCGUGUGCGUGUGUUGCAGUGCUUGAUGGGGAGCUCGUCACCUCUCUCACAUUCAGGGAGGAGUCGGGCAGCAGAGAGCAAAGGUAAACUACCGAGAGACGAUACCUGCGUGUGAAAAGGGACACCUGUACUAACCGGGUUAGAGUUUCCCUCCUGUACUUCUGUGUGUGUGUGUGUGUGUGUGUGUGUGCGUGCGUGUGCGUGUGCGUGCGUGUGUGUUCUUAUGGUAAAACAUAAUGUUUUCUAAAGCUGAUGAUGAGUUUCCUCGUGAGACAGGGACACGUCUGUCCUUGUCUCAUUGGCUGAUCCAGGAACCUCCUACAUGCACUGUGACUCCUGCAGCCCGCGGGUUCUUCUCUGCUGCGGUGCCGUUUCCUGUGUGCGUGCACAGACGUUUGUGUUGCUAUGAGAAGAAGCUCACACUGAUUUACAUGCGUAGCUGGAAAUAAACGGAAAACACAACUUCUACUUCUGAGCCUCUUGAUUCCAGAUUUGCUUUGAGGAACACAUGAGCUCCUCUCUCUGUCUCAGCACCCGUCUCCUGCCUCCGGCCUUCCAGCAGCAGACGGGCGGAGCAGGUGAAGCGGGCGUGGACGAGGAAGCACAGGAAGCGAGGCGUCUGUCCGACCGGCCGUCGCUGUGCGAGCAGCAGAAGAAGCUGGAGGACAAGCGGAGUCUUCUCCAGGAGUUGGGGCGCAUCGAGGCCGAUCUUCGGGAGUCGGUGCGUCCGGACAUCGAGCGGCAGCGUGAAGCCGAGUUCCUCCGUCGCCAUGAGAGCAACCUGCUGAGGACUCACCUGUGUUACCUGAGCCUCGGGCAGCGCGUUGCCAAACCCUGGGUCACCAGCUACUUCAGGAAGUUCCCCAUGCACAUCUACUGCCUCCCAGUCCAGGCGGCCAAUCAGAGGAGCCGGAAGCGGGUCCUAACGAAGAGGAGAUGAUGCGUUGAGAUUAUUUCUGUUUUUAAUGUUUUUUCAAUCAAAAAAUAAAUCCAACAUCCUCCCAAUAACUUGUCCUAUAGUCCUGUGUUAGAGGGCGCCCUCUAUAUGUUUCUCUGUGAACUGCACCGUUAAAUUAAAGUGGACCUUUGAUCUGGUGUUUUAUGCACAAGUAGCGGAAGAAGUAUUAAGAUCCGUUACUGCAAUAAACGUACUAUUGACACCACG